GCGGGACACGUGGUAUCCUGUCUGAAUAUGGGGGGACCAUCCUCCAAGGCUAAAUACUCCUGACUGACCGAUAGUGAACCAGUACCGUGAGGGAAAGGCGAAAAGAACCCCGGCGAGGGGAGUGAAAAAGAACCUGAAACCGUGUACGUACAAGCAGUGGGAGCCUCUUAAUGGGGUGACUGCGUACCUUUUGUAUAAUGGGUCAGCGACUUAUAUUCUGUAGCAAGGUUAACCGAAUAGGGGAGCCGAAGGGAAACCGAGUCUUAACUGGGCGUUAAGUUGCAGGGUAUAGACCCGAAACCCGGUGAUCUAGCCAUGGGCAGGUUGAAGGUUGGGUAACACUAACUGGAGGACCGAACCGACUAAUGUUGAAAAAUUAGCGGAUGACUUGUGGCUGGGGGUGAAAGGCCAAUCAAACCGGGAGAUAGCUGGUUCUCCCCGAAAGCUAUUUAGGUAGCGCCUCGUGAAUUCAUCUCCGGGGGUAGAGCACUGUUUCGGCAAGGGGGUCAUCCCGACUUACCAACCCGAUGCAAACUGCGAAUACCGGAGAAUGUUAUCACGGGAGA
rnacentral:rRNA from 1 species